rnacentral:rRNA from 1 species
UCGGUUGAUCCUGCCGGAGGUUACUGCUAUCGGAGUUCGAUUAAGCCAUGCGAGUCUAAAGGUUUCUUCGGAAACCUUGGCGGACUGCUCAGUAACACGUGGAUAACCUACCCUUGGGACUGGAAUAACCCCGGGAAACUGGGGAUAAUACCGGAUAGAUCAGGGAUGCUGGAAUGCACCUUGAUCCAAAGCUCCGGCGCCCAAGGAUGGGUCUGCGGCCUAUCAGGUAGUAGUGGGUGUAACGUACCUACUAGCCAACGACGGGUACGGGUUGUGAGAGCAAGAGCCCGGAGAUGGAUUCUGAGACACGAAUCCAGGCCCUACGGGGUGCAGCAGGCGCGAAACCUUUACAAUGUGCGAAAGCAUGAUAAGGGAACUCCGAGUGCCAGCAUCUAAUGUUGGCUGUCCUUGUGCCUAAAACGCACAAGAUAGCAAGGGCCGGGUAAGACCGGUGCCAGCCGCCGCGGUAACACCGGCGGCCCGAGUGGUAGCCGCUAUUAUUGGGUCUAAAGGGUCCGUAGCCGGUUCGAUAAGUCCUCUGGGAAAUCUUGUUGCUUAACAAUCANACUGCCAAGGGAUACUGUCGAACUUGAGACCGGGAGAGGUAAGAGGUACUUCAGGGGUANNAGUGAAAUCUUGUAAUCCCUGGGGACCAUCUGUGGCNAANGCNUCUUACCAGAACGGNUCUGACGGUNAGGG